rnacentral:ncRNA from 1 species
CGUCCUCAGAUCAGACGAGGUUACCCGCUGAACUUAAGCAUAUCACUAAGCGGAGGAAAAGAAACUAACAAGGAUUCCCCUAGUAACGGCGAGUGAAGCGGGAAGAGCUCAAGCUGAGAAUCUUCGGAAUUGUAGUCUAUGGGCGCUGUCUCGGCUGGAGCUGGGUAUAAAUCCGCCUGGGAUGCGGUUGCCAGAGAGGGUUCGAGC